rnacentral:lncRNA from 1 species
UAUUGAUUUAAGAAAUAUUCAUACAUUGAAAUAAUUCAAGACUGGGCCCGGCCUAAUGCCAAAUCGAGCCAACAAAAUACAUAACGCAAUACCGUUUACAAAAGGCAUGAAAUCUACUCCGGCGGUCCUAACGUCCAACACCAAGCUAUCCGAUCAUCCUUACCUAAAGCGACCUGCAAAAUGGACAACGGAGUUGGAUGAGUAACCUAAUGUUACUCAGCGAGUUACAAUCCCCAACUAACAAAUACAACCCCUCACUAUCCCACACCAAACAAUCUAAAGCGAGAAGUUCACCUAACAACACAAUUCAAUAACAAUAAACAAUAUCCGAAAUACGCAGCGGUAAACGAUAGCAAGAUAACUAGCAUUAUGCUAAUUACUAGCUCAUCACCAAAAAUCAAACUCGAUUUAAACCAGAGU